rnacentral:rRNA from 1 species
AUUGAACGCUGGCGGCAUGCUUUACACAUGCGAGUCGAACGGUAACAGGCCUUCGGGUGCUGACGAGUGGCGAACGGGUGAGUAAUGCAUCGGAACGUACCCAGAGGUGGGGGAUAACGCAGCGAAAGCUGUGCUAAUACCGCAUGUGAUCUGAGGAUGAAGGCGGGGGACCGAGCAGCAAUGUUUGGCCUCGCGCCUUUGGAGCGGCCGAUGUCGGAUUAGCUAGUUGGUGGGGUAAAGGCCUACCAAGGCGACGAUUCGUAGCUGGUCUGAGAGGACGACCAGCCACACUGGGACUGAGACACGGCCCAGACUCCUACGGGAGGCAGCAGUGGGGAAUUUUGGACAAUGGGCGCAAGCCUGAUCCAGCAAUGCCGCGUGCGGGAAGAAGGCCUUCGGGUUGUAAACCGCUUUUGGCAGGAACGAAACGGUGUCCGCUAAUACCGGGCGCUAAUGACGGUACCUGCAGAAUAAGCACCGGCUAACUACGUG